rnacentral:rRNA from 1 species
GACAGAGGUGCCGAGCGUUAGGCGGAAUCACUGGGCUUAAAGCGUGUGUAGGCGGACUCCUAAGUGCCUUGUGAAAUCCCCCGGCUCAACCGGGGAACGGCUGGGCAGACUGGGAGUCUUGGGCCGUCUAGGGGCUGGCGGAACAAAUGGUGGAGCGGUGAAAUGCGUAGAUAUCAUUUGGAACGCCGAAGGCGAAAGCAGCCAGCUGGGGACGUGCCGACGCUGAGACACGAAAGCCAGGGGAGCGAACGGG